rnacentral:piRNA from 1 species
AAGGUCAGUCUUUUUCUGGUAGUGUCCUC